rnacentral:ncRNA from 1 species
GUCGCGAUGGUAAUCGAGCCCAGUACGAGAGGAGCCGAUCAUUUAGAUAAUUGGAUUUUGCGGCCGUCUGACAAGGCAGUGCCGCGAAUCUGCUAUCUGCUGGUUGAUGGCUGAACGCGUAUGUCUAAAGUCGGCAAAGAAUCAACAAACAAC